GGGGUUGUGGCUCAGAGGUAAAGUGAUCACCUAGCAUGCGAGAGGUACUGGGUUCAAUCCUCAGCACCACA
rnacentral:tRNA from 1 species